rnacentral:rRNA from 1 species
CAUGCCGUAAACGAUGUCUACUAGCCGUUGGGGCCUUUGAGGCUUUAGUGGCGCAGCUAACGCGAUAAGUAGACCGCCUGGGGAGUACGGUCGCAAGACUAAAACUCAAAUGAAUUGACGGGGGCCCGCACAAGCGGUGGAGCAUGUGGUUUAAUUCGAUGCAACGCGAAGAACCUUACCUGGCCUUGACAUGUCUGGAAUCCUGCAGAGAUGCGGGAGUGCCUUCGGGAAUCAGAACACAGGUGC